GUGGGGAAUAUUGCACAAUGGGGGAAACCCUGAUGCAGCGACGCCGCGUGAGUGAAGAAGUAUUUCGGUACGUAAAGCUCUAUCAGCAAGGAAGAAAAUGACGGUACUUGACUAAGAAGCCCCGGCUAACUACGUGCCAGCAGCCGCGGUAAUACGUAGGGGGCAAGCGUUAUCCGGAUUUACUGGGUGUAAAGGGAGCGUAGACGGUAUGGUAAGUCAGAUGUGAAAGCCCGGAGCUCAACCCCGGGACUGCAUUUGAAACUAUCAGACUAGAGUGCAGGAGAGGUAAGUGGAAUUCCUAGUGUAGCGGUGAAAUGCGUAGAUAUUAGGAGGAACACCAGUGGCGAAGGCGGCUUACUGGACUGUAACUGACGUUGAGGCUCGAAAGCGUGGGGAGCAAACAGGAUUAGAAACCCUUGUAGUCC
rnacentral:rRNA from 1 species